AGAGCGAACGCUGGCGGCAGGCCUAACACAUGCAAGUCGAGCGCCCCGCAAGGGGAGCGGCAGACGGGAGAGUAACACGUGGGAACGUACCCUUCAGUUCGGAACAACCCAGGGAAACUUGGGCUAAUACCGAAUACGUCCGUAAGGAGAAAGAUUUAUCGCUGAAGGAUCGGCCCGCGUCUGAUUAGCUUGUUGGUGAGGUAACGGCUCACCAAGGCGACGAUCAGUAGCUGGUCUGAGAGGAUGAUCAGCCUCACUGGGACUGAGACACGGCCCAGACUCCUACGGGAGGCAGCAGUGGGGAAUAUUGGACAAUGGGCGCAAGCCUGAUCCAGCCAUGCCGCGUGAGUGAGGAAGGCCUUAGGGUUGUAAAGCUCUUUCGCCCGCGACGAUGAUGACGGUAGCGGGAGAAGAAGCCCCGGCUAACUUCGUGCCAGCAGCCGC
rnacentral:rRNA from 1 species